AACAGUCCGGAACUAUGGAUUCCGUAGAGGGAAGCUCGCGUAAGGAUCAUUACAAAGUUAGGGUGCAAAGCGCCCGACCUCCAACCCUUUGUUGUUAAAACUACCUUGUUGCUUUGGCGGGACCGCUCGGUCUCGAGCCGCUGGGGAUUCGUCCCAGGCGAGCGCCCGCCAGAGUUAAACCAAACUCUUGUUAUUAAACCGGUCGUCUGAGUUAAAAUUUUGAAUAAAUCAAAACUUUCAACAACGGAUCUCUUGGUUCUCGCAUCGAUGAAGAACGCAGCGAAAUGCGAUAAGUAAUGUGAAUUGCAGAAUUCAGUGAAUCAUCGAAUCUUUGAACGCACAUUGCGCCCCUUGGUAUUCCGAGGGGCAUGCCUGUUCGAGCGUCAUUACACCACUCAAGCUAUGCUUGGUAUUGGGUGCCGUCCUUAGUUGGGCGCGCCUUAAAGACCUCGGCGAGGCCUCACCGGCUUUAGGCGUAGUAGAAUUUAUUCGAACGUCUGUCAAAGGAGAGGACUUCUGCCGACUGAAACCUUUUAUUUUUCUAGGUUGACCUCGGAUCAGGUAGGGAUACCCGCUGAACUUAAGCAUAUCAAUAA
rnacentral:rRNA from 1 species